AAAUACUGAAUACAAUAUCGGCAGCAGCAGCGCAAACCAAAACAACAACGACGAGCCCAGUGGACAGUGCAAAAUAAUGGCACUCCCCCAGCGCCCCCAUUUCGUACUCCCCCCGCAGUCGUCUUUUUCCGGACAAACAGAACCCGAAAAAGUGAAGAUCACGGAAAGAAAUCGGAUCGUAGUCUAACAAUGGAUUAUACAAUUAUAGGGCGACCGUAACCUAAUUAAAAGAUUAACCUAUUUUUCUGCUA